rnacentral:rRNA from 1 species
AUUGAACGCUGGCGGCAGGCCUAACACAUGCAAGUCGAGCGGAUGAAGGGAGCUUGCUCCUGGAUUCAGCGGCGGACGGGUGAGUAAUGCCUAGGAAUCUGCCUGGUAUUGGGGGAUAACGUCCGGAAACGGGCGCUAAUACCGCAUACGUCCUGAUGGAGAAAGUGGGGGAUCUUCGGACCUCACGCUAUCAGAUGAGCCUAGGUCGGAUUAGCUAGUUGGUGGGGUAAAGGCCUACCAAGGCGACGAUCCGUAACUGAUCUGAGAGGAUGAUCAGUCACACUGGAACUGAGACACGGUCCAGACUCCUACGGGAGGCAGCAGUGGGGAAUAUUGGACAAUGGGCGAAAGCCUGAUCCAGCCAUGCCGCGUGUGUGAAGAAGGUCUUCGGAUUGUAAAGCACUUUAAGUUGGGAGGAAGGGCAGUAAGUUAAUACCUUGCUGUUUUGACGUUACCAACAGAAUAAGCACCGGCUAACUUCGUG